GCAAGAGCUCUACCACUGAGCUAAAUCCCCAACCCCUUGGUUUUUGUUUUUUUGUUUGUUUGUUUUGUUUUGUUUUGUUUUUUUAUAUCUAUCUCUAGAAUAUCAGACUCCCCCACUUAUCUUUGCAAGUAACUCACUCAUUCUUUAAAAAACAUUUUAUUUUUAAGUUAAGUUUAUUAAUUAACUAUUUAUUCUUUAAUUAUUUGUGUAUCUGCUAGGGAGAUGUCUUUGAAAAUGCAGGUUCCCACAGAGGCCAGAAGAGGGAGUCAGAGCUUCUGGAGCUGGAGCUGGAGGAGGUUGUGAGCUGCUCCACUGGGUGAGCGCUGGGCACCAAACUCAGAUCCUCUUUACUUAGCAUUGUGCACUCUUAACCGUGAGCCCUCGCAACUGUGAGCCCUCAUUCUUAGUCAGUUGGCCUUAUUGCCUCAAUGUCAUCUUAAGGCAAGGUUACCUCUUUCCUGCCUUGUCCUCUGUCACUGCACUUAACACAUUUAAUUGUCCACCUUCCCUCCUGAAUCAAGUGGAUGAAGGUUAACAGAGUCCCUGUCCUCCCACCCUUCCCUGAGGAAACAUUGGUAGUUAAUGGCCAUUGGCCAAAGAGAGUCAUUUUCUUCAUAGGAAUAGCCACUGGGAACCUGCCAGCAAUACAGUGAUAACCCUACACAUUCUCAUGUGAGCAACCCAAACUACAUUCAGUUGGUCACAGAAGUCAACAGCAACAGAAAGACAUGGACAUGGGGAAAGGGCUUACUUGCUAAGAAGAAGUGGGGAUUCAGCAGGAGUGGGAGGGGACCGAGAAAGGGUGGUAGAGGGUGAAAAUGACCAAAAUACAUUAUAUGUAUUUAUAAGCUUGUCAGAUAAUUUAAUUUAAAAAAGGAAAGUAUUGUGUCUUGCUUGGGCAACAUACUAUGUUCAUGGUCUGAGUUCAUGGUUAAGGCACUUUCAAAAUAACCAAGGGCAGGGAGGUAGCUCUAUGAUAGGUCCACAUGUAGCAUCCAGAUGAGCUCUAUAGUAGGGCCAUGUGUAGCGUGCAGGGAGGUGAUUCUAUGAUAGGACUGUGUGUAGCAUGUCUGAGGCUUUGAGCUUGACUCCCAACACAAAAAGGCAAAAGAAAAGGAAAAAGGAAACAAAAAGAGGGGGAAGUGUGUUUUCCUUAACCCUGCUUCAGGACUUCAGCUUUUGGCAGGUAGUCAGGCCAGAUGCUCAAGAAACGUAUAAUGAAGAGUAAGUCGUGCAGAGUAACUAGAGGUGCUGGUGGUUGGCUGCAGUCAGUUGGAGGCACCUCAUUACAAGAGUGCUGGGGACCAGUUGGAGAGAGUUCACAGGAGACCCCCAGGGAUGCUUAAAGGACCAACGAGGCUGACUGCUGAGGAGAGAGUAUAAAUGAAAACCGUAUAACUUGGCUGAACCAAGACAGCAGAAGUAAAUAUCUCAAGAAUAUAAACUUGAUGGGGGAGGGCAGCCCUUUAUGGUGUGACUUGGGAUGGGGAAAAAAUAUCCAAGAGUAAAAUUAAGACAGUAUAAUUGUAAACUAACAGUUCAAAACAUGAUAGAAUACUUUAUUUGUGGGACUCUCCUUAGUUAGACCACCCUACCCUGUGGACCUUGUCCCAGCUGAAUGAUUUUUCUUUUAAAUAUUGGAGAAUUACAUUAAAGAACUGUUUUUCUUAAACUCCGACAUGUUUUAUGGAAACCAGUAGGUGACAACAGAAUUCUUGCAUGCUGUCAUCACUUCUAAAUGCACCUGAAGUGGACUUUCUCAUGGGUGUUUUCUUGACUUCUUAGAAUAGCAUUUCAAGGGCUGAAAAGAUGGCUCGGUGGUUAAGAGUGUUUGCUGUUUUUGUAGAGGACCUGGGUUUGGUUCCCAGCACCCAGCUGGUGGCUUGCAACCAUUCAUAAUUCCAGUCCUAGGUGAUCCAAUGCUCUCUUCUGACCUCCCCCAAGCACACAUGAGGUGCACACAUACAUACAUACAUAUAUGCAGGCAAACUCUCAUACACAUAAAUUAAAUAAAUUUUAAAAACUUGAAUAGCAGUUUGAAAACAAACGAAGUCAUUAAUAUAUAUUAAAAUAAUUUUUGGAACAAUAAUGUAUUUGAUCCUUGCUUAGCCUUUGCAGAUGAUCGAUUAAAAUUCUUAGUUGUCCUAUGAACACAG
ensembl:lncRNA